ACUCUAUAAAAUAAAAAUAAAUGCUAAGACAUAUGUUCGUAUUCAAUGUAAGGUAUACCUUUAAAAAGUUGGAAUCUACUUUUUUCAUCCUACAUGCUCAUUUUAUAGAUGAAAACAAAACAGGAAGUCAAGUAACUUAAUUUAAGGUCAUAACAGGGAACAGAGGUAGAACCAGAACUCAAGAAUUCUAACUCCCAGAUCUUUUCUUUACAUUAUAUGGUCCUAUUUAACAAAGUUUUAGUUCUAGAAUUAAAUAAGGCUUCUAUUAGGAAAAUACUGGAGUUCCCUGGUGGUUAAGGGCUUGGCCUUGUCACAACUGUGGCUCGGGUUCAAUCCCAGCCCAGAAGUUCCACAUGCCAAAGGAAACUAUUACUUUGUCCCAUUAUAAAGCAUAGACGUGUUUCACACAAUUGUUAAAUGAGCCUAAAAGAUUGUGAGAGAACUGAAGUCUCUGUCCUGGGUCCAAUGCAGCUUAUCUGAGAAGAUAAAUAAUAUAAAAAAGAACCAUGAGAGAAAGGUUUUGUAAAAAUGGAGGAGUGGGUGUGGAUCAAAGGGUACAAACUUUCAGAUUUAAGAGGCAUACGUUAUGAAGAUCUAAUGUUCAGUAGGUGACUAUUAAAACACAGUACUGUAUGCGUGAAAGCUGCUGAGAAUGGAUCUUACGCAUUCUUACAACUAAGAAGUGUCAAUUACUUUCACCUGGGUGAUAGUUCUACAAUGUAUAUAUCAAAUGGUGGCACUGUAUACUUUAAAUACAUACAAUUAUUCCCCAAUAAAGUUGGGUGAUGGGGGGGGAAUGAGAGAAGAAUAAGCACUAAAGAAAAGUACUACGACGUUCAGAGGUUGGCAGGUUUAUUUCUGGGCAGAAAAAAAAAAAAGAAAAGAAGGCUCAUACUUAUUCAGUAAUGAAAAAUUAUCCCAGUGCCGGAAGUUAGCAGAAAAAAACUAGGAAAAGUUUAGACUUUGGAUCUACUGUAGGCCUAGGAAAUAAGACUCAUAUGUACUCUGUUAGAAUUAGAUGUACCUCAUUUCCAAUCCAAAGCAAAUAGAGGCUAUAAGAAUACACUAAAUGACACCACUGGAAAACAAUCAGACAAAUCCAGAUGGUGGUACAUUAUGUAAGACUCUUCAAAAAGUCAAUGUCAUAGGGAAGUAAAGAGGGGGAGGCAUUCCAGAUUUAAAAAGAUUCAAGAGACAAAAGCAAUGUCUAAAUGCAGAGUAGAUCCUAUUUUGAAAAGAAUAGCUGUAAAAGAUAUUUUGGGGACAAUUGGGAGAUUCUGAUUAUGGAUUAGAUUUUAGGGAAUAAGAGUUAAUCUUCUUAGAAGUGAUAACGGUAUUGUUGUUAAGGAUGGGAGAACAGCUUUAUUUUUAAAAGAUGCUUAUUGGAGUUCCUGUCUUGGCCCAGUGGUUAAAGAAUCCGACUAGGAACCACGAGGUUGCGGGUUCCAUCCCUGGCCUUGCCUUCCAAGAUAAUCUUGACUGGGAAAAAACUUCAACCCUUUAUUUGGUAGUAAAUUGAAAAUGAGUGGGACUACUUGAUGGAAGAUAGCUCAUGAGGCAGGGGCUACAACACACCACAAACUGGAGUGCUUACUUCUCAGAGGAUUCAGCUUUCCCCAUAUCCCUGUAAUUUCCAAUUGUUGCUUCCCUGGCCUAACUUCAAUUCUCAUACUUACUGGCCCUACUUACCCAGAGCACCACUGUAUUUCCAAUCUACAUUAUCUUGCUGUUUUCCUGUUGGUUCUUUCCCCACAACUCCAUCCCUCCUAGGAAAAUCAGCAACCCUCUGAUUUAUAUCAAGUACAUGUCUCCUAUUUCACAGUAUGUCUCUCUCCAAUUUGUAUGAAAUUUUAUUCACCCCUCAUAAAGCCCCAGAGCUCACCAACACAAAAUAUGAAAGAUUUUUACUUCUACUGUCACACUAGAGAUAAAAGGAAGAGACUUAAUCUUUAGUCCUGGUCAUGCUGUAUUUUGUUUCAUUUAAGGUCACAGCCUUAAGAAGCAAAAUUCAAUAAACAACCUAGUUAGAUGAUGGAUAUAAGUAAUAUAUGGAACACUGAAAAUACAGAAGAAAUAGAUAUGCAUGAUAUUCUUGGUGAAGAAAGUAACUGAGCUCUUGUAGAGGAUUUGUUUCUUCUAAAGUAUACUAACCUGAAAAGGGCCGGGGUAUCCUCUGGGGUUGGAUGCCCAAGGAGUCUAUCCUGUACUCGGAUAUGAAUUUCUGCACCAGAGUAAAAUGAAAAGUUCAAAUACAAUCAGACCUAUCAGUUUCAGAUCCAGGUGGAUCUAUUUUCCUGUUUCCCAACAAUUCAACAAAAUUCAGUAAACUAAGCACUGACUAUGGUCAGACCCUGAGAGGUGAUUUCUCAUUUCUCUACCUUUUGUGAAAUUUUCAUGACUCAAUUCUGAGUACUUUCCUCUUCUUUUCACUUACUGACAGCAGUCAUACACUCUUAUGCCUUCAGUCAGCCUCCCUGGCUGACUCCAAAAUCCAUGUUCAUAAUCCUGAGCAUUCAGGAGUUGCACCUGGAAACUUCUGCACCAUCCUAAAUGAUGUCUCAACUUAAAAAUUCUUCUGUCAACUAAACCUUAACAUACCGAAAAAUUGUAGUUCACUGAAAGGUUGCUUUCCCCAGACAGCUCUUCCUUAUUCCCCAAAACUUGCCAAUCCACCUCAAUAUUCUUGGUUACCCACGUUCACAAACACGGGAUUCUCUCUUUUUUUUUUCCCCCUCCGUUUUAGGGCUACGGCCGUGGCAUUCCAAAGUUCUCAGGCUAGGGGUCAAAUCGGAGCUGCAGCUGCCGGCCCACGCCACAGCCACAGCCACAGCCACGAGGGAUCCUGAGUUGCAUCUGCGAACUAUACCACAGCUCAUCAUGGCAAUGCCAGAUCCUUCACCCACUGAGCAAGGCCAAGGAUUGAACCUGCAUCCUCAUGGAUACUAGUCAGGUUCGUUCACCACUGAGCCAUGAAGGGAACUCCUGGGAUUCUUUUUCUUUUCUCUUCUAUAUACCUACAUCCAUAAAUAACCAACUCUUGCCAUUUUUUUCCCCUAAGAGCUUCCUUACUCUGGUCUCUUCCCACUGUAAGCAAGCCUACACCAAGGCUUCUCAA
ensembl:lncRNA